ACCAUAAGCUGUCACUGAGCACUUCAUUAUGCCUUCCCUGGUCCCCAUCUGCUCAUAACUGGAACGUGGGCCAUAGGGUAGCACCUUUCUUAGUGUAACAGGCACUCAGUUUUGAGAUGGGAGGGGGGGUAAGUGCACCUUCUUUGUCAAAAAGCAAGACGUGCAACAGAGGAAUUCAUGCACCAUUAGGUCUCAAGCUUGGAUAUUUGCCUGGAUUAAUAAGUCAUAUGUGUCUGGUUCCUAUUGCCUGAUUAUUUUAUAUGACUCUGAUUUCAUUCCUCUAGCAAGAAAUACAAGGACCGUGAACCAGCCGAUUACCACGUAAGCCCUGGGUGGAGGCUAAACUGCAACUUAAAAAUAGGGCUGGAAGGGGGCUGGAGAGAUUUUCAAGUCCAGACCCCCCGCUACACUCCUCCCUGCCCCACCCCCAAAGCAGCACCAACUCUUACUUGGGAACUUGAGUCCUUGGAGUUUUGCAGCGCUGAUAUCACUUUCCAUGGAGAGAAAGCAGUGGGGAAGACCUAACAAGCUGUAACUCCCCUAGGAAAAGUAGCGACAUGGACUCCAAAACAAAACUAAUCUCAAAUAACAGGAGAAGGAAAAAACAUUCAUGCUAAUUAGGGGCCCUGAAUUGCAGGAUAAAACAAUCACAUUAGAAAAUGUUUUUGUGACUUGAGACAGUAUACAAAGAAUGUCAAGCUGUUUGCAGAUUACAGCUGCUGCUUAUAGAGUGAAGGAAAGAAAAAGGGUCUCUGACUACCACUGCCACUUGCAUAUUGCCAGGCAUAAUCUUCUGGUAGCAGAUACUGAAUAAUUCCCAGUGUCAACAAUUUAAAUAUUAAAACCAGUUUCAUCAUGGCAGCUUGUACAAGCUCAGCAGCCUGUCUGUUUACAUGCAGCUAGCUUUUUCACAGCUAUCAACUUUUUUGUUACUAAACCUCAGAGAAAGGUGGGUUUCUCCCGUAACAACAGAGCAACCGAUUAAGAGAGGGUUGUCUGAAGGGUGAUAAAUAUAGUAUAGGUUUUCAAACCAGUCAUGUACAUGUUGGCAUUUGCUUACAAAGCAGCUGAUCUUGAAACACAAGAGUACAUAUCAUUCAUACAUGUCCUGUAUGGGGCCUUUAAAGACCAAUUUGAAAAA